CGCACGUACAGAUGGACACGAAUAGGCUUCGGCUUAGCGUCUUAGCAGGCGAUUACUCCACUGCUCUCGAAGCGAGUAGUGGUAUUUCGCGAAUUGUAAUUUCAGCACGAGCGGGGUUAAAUCCUUUGCAGACGACUUAGAUGUGCGAAAGGGUCCUGUAAGCAGUAGAGUAGCCUUGUUGUUACGAUCUGCUGAGGGUAAGCCCUCCUUCGCCUCGAUUUCCUCAUGAACUCCAGCGGCCGACGGCCGCGAGCACACGAGGGUUAGGGGACUGCCGCGGGCAGGGACUUGAGGGGCCGCGCCGACGAUUCGGUGCGGCCAAGUCUCGUCUCGACGACGCAAGUACCCUGGAAAGGAUAUUGCGGACGGCCGUGACGGCCAAGUGCGUGUCCGCGACGCCAGGUACCCUGGAAGGGACGCGGUCGAGGCCCGAGACGUGCAACGCAGAACGAAGUGCCCGAGUGCGCCGGGUACCCUGCAAUAGGCUUUAGAGGGCGAGGCGCCAGGUACCCCGGAAAGGGCCUGGGGUGGCCAAGUACCCUGGAGAGCGAUUCCCUAGUACCCUGGAAAGGAGAUGGAUGCUGAGCCCCCUGGAAUGGCCAAGUACCCUGGAGCAGAAUUCCCGAGUACCCCGGAAAGCGAUUCCCAAGUACCCUGGAGCAGAAUUCCCGAGUACCCCGGAAAGCGAUUCCCAGGUACCCUGGAAAGCAAUUCCUACGCACCCUGGAGCAGAAUUCCCGAGUACCCCGGAAAGCGAUUCCCAAGUACCCUGGAAAGCAGUUCCCAAGUACCCUGGAGCAGAAUUCCCAGGUACCCUGGAAAGCAAUUCCUACGCACCCUGGAGCAGAAUUCCCGAGUACCCCGGAAAGCGAUUCCCAAGUACCCUGGAAAGCAAUUCCUACGCACCCUAGGGCGGAAUUCCCAGGUACCCUGGAAAGCAAUUCCUACGCACCCUAGGGCGGAAUUCCCAAGUACCCUAGGGUAGAAGCCUUAAGUACCCUAUAAAGCAGUCUUUAGGUACCUUAGAAAGGAGAUCCUAAGUGUAAAUAUUUUUUCGGUAAAUAAAAUAGACAUAGAAGUAGCUGUAGUAGAGAAGUAGUAGGAUUAGAAGCGUUACUUAUACUAAGGCCUAUAUUAUAAAACUGUUAAAUAGGGUACUAGAAAAUAAAAGAGUUAUUAAGGGACUAUACAAAGGAGGUUAGAUUAAGAGGGGAGCUUUUUCUUAAAAGGUAAGUAGUAUUCUACUUUUAUACAGUCACCUCUCUUAAUAAGGGUAGAAGAUAAGAUAGAAAUAGGCUAUCUAUACAGGUAAGGAUAUAUAGUAACGCCUACAUAGUAUAAAGAAUAGAGUGUCUAAGUAUAGUAGUAAAAGUAAAUAGUACUAAGACUAGAAUAAUAUAUACUUAUAUAUUAGAUUCUAAGACGUAUAUACAAGAGAGAAGCUUUAAUGCUUAUAGUAGACUAUAGGUUUAUAAAGAAUAGAGAUAAGUAAAGACGGAGAUAAAGGCAGACCUCUAAAGGAAAGCUACUUUAUGGAAAGGAAGUCUAGGUACCCUAGGAAGGCCAAGUACCCUGGAAAGAACGUCCUAGGUACCCUGGAAAGGCCAAGUACCCUGGAAAAAGUCCCAGGUACCCUGGAAAGGCCAAGUACCCUGGAAAAAGUCCCAGGUACCCUGGAAAGGCCAAGUACCCUGGAAAAAGUCCCAGGUACCCUGGAAAGGCCAAGUACCCUGGAAAAAGUCCCAGGUACCCUGGAAAGGCCAAGUACCCUGGAAAAAGUCCCAGGUACCCUGGAAAGGCCAAGUACCCUGGAAAAAGUCCCAGGUACCCUGGAAAGGCCAAGUACCCUGGAAAAAGUCCCAGGUACCCUGGAAAGGGACUUUCUACCUUGGCGCCUAGGCUAUAAGUAGGUAGUAUAGGGCUGUAGAGCGCCUCUAGGGGAGCCUAGCGCACCAGGCCCUAUAGCUAUAGCGCCUACAGCGGGCGAGAAAACCGCUGCGGAAGUUCAAAAAACCGGCGGUUGGACUGCGGGGUGGGCGCCCGCGGGCUGCCCGGCACGGCGGGCUUAUAGAGCUCGCUGCGGCGGUUACAGCGCCGUAAGGCCCUAUACGGUAGGCACUAUAGCGCUGGAGAUACGGCGGCCCAAAGCCGCAGGUACCCUGGAAGGCAAUUGUCAAGUACCCUGGAAGGGAAAAAGAGGUGGGCCGCAGGGCGCCGCCGAGCAGCUGGUGGCGGCGACGACGUGGGCGGUCGACGGGCAUACCUGGGUUUUGCGUGCGGGAUCGGAUAAGGUUUUGGUGGCCGUGAGUCGAUUUUUUUGUUUUCCCAUACAAAUCUUUUUUUCGGGAAAUGUUUUUUCGGGACAGAAGCAGGUGGAGCGGGGCCGGGGCGCAAAAAG
rnacentral:misc_RNA from 1 species